rnacentral:rRNA from 1 species
AGAGCUUGAUCAUGGCUCAGAUUGAACGCUGGCGGCAGGCCUAACACAUGCAAGUCGAACGGUAACAGGAAACAGCUUGCUGUUUCGCUGACGAGUGGCGGACGGGUGAGUAAUGUCUGGGAAACUGCCUGAUGGAGGGGGAUAACUACUGGAAACGGUAGCUAAUACCGCAUAACGUCGCAAGACCAAAGAGGGGGACCUUCGGGCCUCUUGCCAUCAGAUGUGCCCAGAUGGGAUUAGCUAGUAGGUGGGGUAACGGCUCACCUAGGCGACGAUCCCUAGCUGGUCUGAGAGGAUGACCAGCCACACUGGAACUGAGACACGGUCCAGACUCCUACGGGAGGCAGCAGUGGGGAAUAUUGCACAAUGGGCGCAAGCCUGAUGCAGCCAUGCCGCGUGUAUGAAGAAGGCCUUCGGGUUGUAAAGUACUUUCAGCGGGGAGGAAGGGAGUAAAGUUAAUACCUUUGCUCAUUGACGUUACCCGCAGAAGAAGCACCGGCUAACUCCGUGCCAGCAGCCGCGGUAAUACGGAGGGUGCAAGCGUUAAUCGGAAUUACUGGGCGUAAAGCGCACGCAGGCGUUUUGUUAAGUCAGACGUGAAAUCCCCGGGCUCAACCUGGGAACUGCAUCUGAUACUGGCAAGCUUGAGUCUCGUAGAGGGGGGUAGAAUUCCAGGUGUAGCGGUGAAAUGCGUAGAGAUCUGGAGGAAUACCGGUGGCGAAGGCGGCCCCCUGGACGAAGACUGACGCUCAGGUGCGAAAGCGUGGGGAGCAAACAGGAUUAGAUACCCUGGUAGUCCACGCCGUAAACGGUGUCGACUUGGAGGUUGUGCCCUUGAGGCGUGGCUUCCGGAGCUAACGCGUUAAGCCGACCGCCUGGGGAGUACGGCCGCAAGGUUAAAACUCAAAUGAAUUGACGGGGGCCCGCACAAGCGGUGGAGCAUGUGGUUUAAUUCGAUGCAACGCGAAGAACCUUACCUGGUCUUGACAUCCACGGAAGUUUUCAGAGAUGAGAAUGUGCCUUCGGGAACCGUGAGACAGGUGCUGCAUGGCUGUCGUCAGCUCGUGUUGUGAAAUGUUGGGUUAAGUCCCGCAACGAGCGCAACCCUUAUCCUUUGUUGCCAGCGGUCCGGCCGGGAACUCAAAGGAGACUGCCAGUGAUAAACUGGAGGAAGGUGGGGAUGACGUCAAGUCAUCAUGGCCCUUACGACCAGGGCUACACACGUGCUACAAUGGCGCAUACAAAGAGAAGCGACCUCGCGAGAGCAAGCGGACCUCAUAAAGUGCGUCGUAGUCCGGAUUGGAGUCUGCAACUCGACUCCAUGAAGUCGGAAUCGCUAGUAAUCGUGGAUCAGAAUGCCACGGUGAGUACGUUCCCGGGCCUUGUACACACCGCCCGUCACACCAUGGGAGUGGGUUGCAAAAGAAGUAGGUAGCUUAACCUUCGGGAGGGCGCUUACCACUUUGUGAUUCAUGACUGGGGUGAAGUCGGAACAAGGUAACCGUAGGGGAACC